UACGUAGGAUGCAAGCGUUGUUCGGAAUUACUGGGCGUAAAGAGUACGUAGGCGGUUUGAAAAGUCUGAUAUUAAAGACUGGGGCUUAACUCCAGGAGUGUAUCGGAAACUUUCAGACUAGAGGACAAUAGAGGAAGUCGGAAUUCUCAGUGUAGCGGUGAAAUGCGUAGAUAUUGGGAAGAACACCAGUGGCGAAAGCGGACUUCUGGGUUGUUACUGACGCUGAGGUACGAAAGCGUGGGGAGCAAACGGG
rnacentral:rRNA from 1 species